UUCAUGUUGAUUUUCAUGAUAAUCAUACUCAUCGGCCCUAUAUGACCUACAAUGUCCAGUGUUUUUCCUGCCUAUCAACUCCAUUCUGAACAAUAGUAUGAUGAUGUCAACAAACAAACCAGAAUGCUACAAAUGCUGUUACAAUACUAACAGACAGGUUAUUGAUGUCCAGGAGGAUGAAGUGUUGUUUCGUUACAUGGAAGCUGCCAGAGGUGGAUUUAAAUGGCCAACAGUUGAAGAUGUCAGCUGGGAGCAUCAUUCAUCAGUUACUCGCCACCUUGAUAACCCUGUUCUUGACAUCCAGAAGAGUUCAAACCAUGUUCAGAUUUUUAAGUUAAAUUAGACUUUGACUUUAUCACAGGGGAGAACCCUGUUCUUGACAUCCAGAAGAGUUCAAACCGUGUUCAGAUUUUUAAGUUAAAUUAGACUUUGACUUUAUCACAGGGGAGUACCCUGUUCUUGACAUCCAGAAGAGUUCAAACCGUGUUCAGAUUUUUAAGUUAAAUUAGACUUUGACUUUAUCACAUGUAUGGGAGAACCCUGUUCUUGACAUCCAGAAGAGUUCAAACCGUGUUCAGAUUUUUAAGUUAAAUUAGACUUGGACUUUAUCACAGGGGAGAACCAAUCAUUUGUUGUGGUAUUUUUUCUAUUAUAAUUUAGGCGAUUUCAGUUAAACAAAUAAAGUUAUGGGAAUACUUCAGUAUCGUUUAUAACGUUGGGGCCAGGUCCGUGUGCAGGGUCCAUCCUAGAGGGUAAUAGUCGAUUUGCCAGAUAGAGAUCACUGUGCAACUUGUCCGGGGUGAGCAAUGAUGUGUAACAAUGAAAAUGAUGUCAUCAAAGAUAAAGUUGCACAAUAAUCUCUAUCUGGCAAAUCGACUAUUAGGGAGAAAUACUUGUUAGCCUAGAGCUAUAGAUUACCAAACUUCUCCAAUGCCGAACUCAAGAAGUGUUUUUAUAUAUAUAAAGUUGCGGCACACCAAUUCGCCCACCAAAAGAAUAUAUUUAAACGGUGAGGGAAAAAUAAUAAAGUUAUGAAGCUUUUAUUUUGUGUCCACCCAAGAGAACAUGUGACCUUGAUAAUUGUCAUAACAUGUUUCCAACCGGGUUCAUAUAAAGGUCAGUAGUACCGUCGUCAGGUGUCUCUCUCUCUCUCUCUCUCUCUCCUCUCUCUCUCUCUCUCUCUCUCUCUCUCUCUCUCAUGCAUUUUAGGUACCUCUUACCCAUAGGGCAUGUAAUUUGUUGGUUUUUAAUAUAAUAUGGUGCUUUAAUCCAAUGCCCUAUGUCAAUAGUAACGUCCAAACAGAAUUUUGGUCAAACUGUCAACAGUAACAUCCGAACAUUAUUUUGUCCAGAAUUGUUUCCUACCUUCAAAUAAACAUUUACAAAGUACAUACAUUAUAGUCUACGUUGUAAUGAAGAGAUUACAAAGCUAAUAUAAGUUUAGAAGUCAAAUCUGAUAUGUAGAAACAAAUGUAAAGUCCAAAAAUUUGGGUAACGUCCGUAACACUUACAAUUUAAUGUUUUAUUCUUUUUUACAUUACAAUGUUUGAGAAAUGAUCACUAUGGGCAUGUACACUGUGCAUCCAACUUGUUGUAAAUUAACAUUCAUCUCCAAUUUAGCACUUUAUUUUUAUGUCAAACCAAUGUCAAAGCAUGUUGAGUAACGUCCGUAACUUUCAAUGUAGCUCAUAAAAAAACUUAAUUUGUAUAUAUUAUGCAUUCUGAACUAUCUUCUAACGUACCAUUUAUAAAUGGUGAAUAAAUCUGCCAUAACUAGAACCUAUGCAUUACAGGAUUUACUCAAUUCUAUUUAUUCAGGUGUUGUCAAAAAAUAUUACCCAAUAGCUCAGAAGGACCCAAAUAACAGUGCACUAAGUGUGAGUGGUGAAAUCGAAAGUAAAAUUUCUAAGUUGACAUCGGUGACCUAGUUUCACAAGUUUGGUCUGUGGUGUUUAUGGAUUUUAAAUCACAAAAUGGUUUGGAAAUACUUGGCAUUGAGUCAAUGUAAAGCUUGUGUUUAUUCUAGAUUACAUGUUUAUUCAUGUUUUGGUUAAAAGUAUAGUAAAAACAAUGAAAGAGUUGAACACAUACAUGUGUCAAUGACAUUUACUAAUGCCAGGAGUUGUGUGCAAAAUAUUUAGAUAAAAUAACACGGAAAACUAUUUUGAAUAAGUCGAUUUUUUCAAUUGGUAAUGAACUUGAUAUUUCAUUAUAAAUGAGAUUUGUUGUUGUAACCAAGGAAUACUCUUUAAAAUGAAAAAUAAACAAGCACGAAGUAUAGAUGCCAAAAUGGCGGAGUUGGGAGAAGAUGAAAAUAUCCGAUACAUAAUUAUGGAUUCCUCUGUUACUAUCAUUGGUACAUAAAGUUUAGUCACAUGCUAGAUUUAUUAAUUUGCUAUGUGAUUUUUAUGUACUGAUGUGGUAAUUUGCUGCAAGAUUUGAAUUUGAAAUGGAUUUGGAGAGCAUCCCAUAGUAAAUAUCCCGGUCCAAAAAUAUUCGGACUUAGCAUCCAUCUGGUUACACACAACUAAGCCUCGCAUGGUAGAGGUUAUUAAAACUCAAAUCUACGUCUAGUUUGGUUCUUAGUUUUUCAGGAAUUGUUUCCACAAUGUUAAAGCUCAAAUGUCUUCAUAAAAUGUUACUUCCUUAUUUAUAAAAUUGGUAAUUAUUUCACUUUGUUGACAUUUUCCAAUAUUAAAAUAACUGAAACAAUGUUAAUAAAAUGUAAUGUAUUGUUUUAAUUCAGUGCAAUAUUUUUGUUUUUUUAAUGCGUAAAAUUCGCCUUCCCUUAUUUUUCAAUUUAAUAUGUGUCAGUUUGUAAGUGUUCUGCAUUCACUUUUGAUUUAGC